rnacentral:rRNA from 1 species
AGCUUGCUCCUAAUGAGAGUGGCGCACGGGUGCGUAACACGUAUGUAACCUACCCUUGUCAGGGGGAUAGCCUCUCGAAAGAGAGAUUAAGCCCGCAUAACAUGGAGACACAGCAUUGUGAUUUCAUCAAAUAUUUAUAGGACAAGGAUGGGCAUGCGGAACAUUAGCUAGUUGGUAAGGUAAUGGCUUACCAAGGCUACGAUGUUUAGGGGAUCUGAGAGGAUGGCCCCCCACACUGGUACUGAGACACGGACCAGACUCCUACGGGAGGCAGCAGUAAGGAAUAUUGGUCAAUGGGCGCAAGCCUGAACCAGCCAUGCCGCGUGCAGGAAGACGGCCCUACGGGUUGUAAACUGCUUUUGCAGGGGAAUAACCCUCCCGACGAGUCGGGAGUUGAAUGUACCCUGAGAAUAAGGAUCGGCUAACUCCGUGCCAGCAGCCGCGGUAAUACGGAGGAUCCAAGCGUUAUCCGGAUUUAUUGGGUUUAAAGGGUGCGUAGGCGGCCUGUUAAGUCAGGGGUGAAAGACGGUAGCUCAACUAUCGCAGUGCCUUUGAUACUGAUGGGCUUGAAUAUAUUAGAGGUAGGCGGAAUGUGACAAGUAGCGGUGAAAUGCAUAGAUAUGUCACAGAACACCAAUUGCGAAGGCAGCUUACUAUGGUAUGAUUGACGCUGAGGCACGAAAGCGUGGGGAUCAAACAGGAUUAGAUACCCUGGUAGUCCACGCCCUAAACGAUGAAUACUCGAUGUUAGCGAUAUACAGUUAGCGUCAAAGCGAAAGCGUUAAGUAUUCCACCUGGGGGAGUACGCCCGCAAGGGUGAAACUCAAAGGAAUUGACGGGGGGCCCGCACAAGCCGGAGGAGCAUGUGGUUUUAAUUCGAUGAUACGCCGAGGAACCUUA